rnacentral:rRNA from 1 species
CCCGUCACACCAUGGGAGUGUGCUGCACCAGAAGUGGGUAGCCUAACGUCGCAAGACGGGGGCGCUGACCACGGUGUGGUCCAUGACUGGGGUG